GAUGAAGAACGUAGCGAAAUGCGAUAAGUAAUGUGAAUUGCAGAAUUCAGUGAAUCAUCGAAUCUUUGAACGCACAUUGCGCCCGCCAGUAUUCUGGCGGGCAUGCCUGUUCGAGCGUCAUUUCAACCAUCAAGCCCCCGGGCUUGUGUUGGGGACCUGCGGCUGCCGCAGGCCCUGAAAACCAGUGGCGGGCUCGCUAGUCACUCCGAGCGUAGUAGUUACAUCUCGCUCAGGGCGUGCUGCGGGUUCCGGCCGUUAAAAGCCUUUUACCCCAAGGUUGACCUCGGAUCAGGUAGGAAGACCCGCUGAACUUAAGUAUAUCAAUAAGCGGAGGA
rnacentral:misc_RNA from 1 species